rnacentral:rRNA from 1 species
CCCUUAGAUGUUCUGGGCCGCCCACGCGCUACACUGAAGGAGGCAGCGUGUACUCCUGGAUCGAAAGAUUUGGGUAACCCGCGAAUCUCCUUCGUGCUAGGGAUUGAGGUUUGCAAUUAUCCUUCAUGAACGAGGAAUUCCCAGUAAGUGCAAGUCAUAAGCUUGCGCUGACUACGUCCCUGCCCUUUGUACACACCGCCCGUCGCUACUACCGAUUGAAUGAUUUAGUGAGGACUUCGGACUGGGACCGAUGCGGCUUUCGGGCUGCGUCGGUAUUCUGGAAAGAUGUCCAAACUGUAUCAUUUAGAGGAAGUAAAAGUCGUAACA